CUUAUAUCCAAAAGAAAUAAAAAGCUUCUGUAACUCAGAAAUAAAAUAAAAAGAACUCAAUUUUAAAAGAGAUGAGGCUGGGUGGUGGCUCACACCUGUAAUCCCAGCACUUUGAGAGGCUGAGGUGUGCAGAUCACCUGAGGUCAGGAGUUCAAGACCAGCCUGGCCAACAUGGUGAAACCCCAUCUCUACCAAAAAUACAAAAAAAUUAGCCAGGUGUGGUGGUGUGCACCUGUAAUCCCAGUUACUUGGGAAGCUGAGGCACGAGAAGUGCUUGAACCUAGGAGGUGGAGGUUGCAGUGAGCCCAGAUGACGCCAUUGCACUCCAGCCUGGAUGACAGAGCAAGACUCCAUCUAAAAAAAAUAAAAAAAUAAAAGAGAUGAGAGCAAAAGAUAUGAACACACACUUUGCAGAAAAAGAUAUACAAAUGGCAAAUAAGCUUGUGAAAAGAUGCUCAACAUAUUAAUAAUCAGGAAAAUGCAAAUUAAAGUUGCAGCAUGGCAGCACACGACCACCAGAAAGGCUAAAAUUAAAAAAAGGUGGAUGAUGCAUGGUCCCCACUGACCCCCCUUCCUGGUACUCCUGUCCUUGUGGCGUCCCUCCCCUUGAGUAUGGGUGGGACCUAUGACUUGCUUCUAACCAAUAGAAUAUGGUGAAGGGGAUUGGACGUCACUUCCGUGUUUACAUCACAGAAGACCGUAACUUCCGUCUUGCCAGCCCAUUCUCUCUAAUGACUGUCUCCCUCGCUGGAUGUGAUGAAGUAGGCUACAUUAUGCAGCACCCCAUGAAACAAAGAAUUGAGUGUGACCACCAGGCAACAUCUGGCAAGGAACUGAGUUCCAACAGUGCACAAGGAAGUGAAUCCUGACAACAGUCCCAAGAGCUUAGGAGUGAAUCCUUCUCCACUCCAGCCUCAGAUAAGUCUUGCCCUUAAUUGCAGCCUCAUGAAAGACUCUGAAACCUUGGGCCCAGGUGGAUUAAAGACUUAAACUGUAAAACUCCCAGGAGAAAACAUACAGAGGAUCCUUCAUUAUAUUGGUAUUGGCAGUGAUUUAUUGGAUAUGAUGCCAAAAGCACAGUACACAAAAACAAAAACAGAAUACAGCAACGGAACAAUUAACAGAGUGAAAAAGUAACCUGUGGAAUGGGAAAAUGGGAAUGCUGUUCUGCAUAGCAACGGAACAAUUGGCAGAGUGAAAAGUUUCUUGCAGCUUGGUGUGGUGGAUCUCACCUGUAAUCCCAGGACUUUGGGAGGCCGAGGCAAGAGGAUUGCUUGAGACCAGGAGAUGAAGACCAGCCUGGGCAACAUAAUGAGACCCUGUCUCCACAAAAAUAAAAUAAAAUAAAAUAAAGAUAAAAAUAAAAAAUUUAAAAAUAAUUUUUAAAAAUAGUUUAUGGCCACAUUUAUACCAAAAUGGUAAGGUGGUGGUGGGACGACCUGCAGGAAAACUUGGUCCAGGAAGGGGACCUAGGUACUAGUGCCCAUCUCCCCCUGGGUGGAAAUUCAGGCAUGUCCUUUCCUCA
rnacentral:lncRNA from 10 species